UCACCAUGUGAAUCUGUACAGAUCUGAUCUGUGCCGAGUUGUGGUCUGUAGAAGCAAUGUAUGUCAGUGUCUCGGGCCAAGUCCUUUGGAAAAAGGCAGCUGAGAGGGUGAGACUCCCGUUCUUGCCUGAGAGAUUUGACUAUAUUCAUGCCUUCAACGAGUCGAGUUGUUUGGGAUUGCAGCUCAAAUUGGGUGGUAAAUUCCAUCUAAAGCUAAAUAUUGGUGGGAGACCGAUAGCGAACAAGUACCGUGAGGGAAAGAUGAAAAGAACUUUGAAAAGAGAGUUAAAGAGUACCUGAAAUUGCUGAAAUGGAAGCGAAGGAAACCAGUGUUAUUUUGCAUCAUUUUUCCCCUGCUGCUUGCAACAGGGGCGCUGUGAUGUAAGGUAGGCCAGUAUGGGUUUGAAUCGGGGCAAAAGCUUUUGCUGCCCUGGUUUGGACUGAGGUUAGCUCGUGUGAUGCUGGCGAAAUGGUUUUCUUUACCCCGUCUUGAAACACGGACCAAGGAGUCUAACAUAUGUGCGAGUAUAGGAGUGGCAAACUCCCAUGCGCAAUGAAAGUAACAGUGGUGUUAUCAACAUCCGCCGGCCACAAUCCUUCGGGA
rnacentral:rRNA from 1 species